rnacentral:rRNA from 1 species
AUUGAACGCUGGCGGCAUGCCUAACACAUGCAAGUCGAACGAGUGGCGGACGGGUGAGUAAUGUCUGGGAAACUGCCUGAUGGAGGGGGAUAACUACUGGAAACGGUAGCUAAUACCCCAUACCAUCAAAUGUGCCCAGGUGGGAUUAGCUAGUUGGUGGGGUAACGGCUAACCAAGGCGACGAUCCCUACCGGGUCUGAUAGGAUGACCAGCCACACGGGAACUGAGAAACGGUCCAAACUCCUAGGGGAGGAAGCAGUGGGAAAUAUUGGAAAAUGGGCGCAAGCCUGAUGCAGCAAUGCGGCGUGUAUGAAGAAGGCCUUCGGGUGGUAAAGUACUUUAAGCGGGGAGGCGUUACCCGAAGAAGAAGCACCGGCUAACUCCGUGCCAGCAGCCGCGGUAAUAC